UGACGCAUGUCGUCCGAUCCAACAGAAAAGCAGUCAGAUUGCUGAAGAAGGUUCUGGGUAAACAUGGUGAUGAUGAAGAUGAUGCAGAGACUUACAGCACCGUGAAAGUUCCUCUUCCUGGGGAACACGUGGCACCAGGAUACACUAUGGAAAGAGGACAAGCCAGCGGAGGCAGUGUGAUGCUUUGACAUUUAACCCCAAGUUGCAACUUCUGACAUAUGUAAAAAUAGUAAGUCGCUUUGGAUAUAAUCGUCAGCUAAAUGUAAUGUGAACAUUCUGUUAAAGAAUGUUUUAUGCAAAAAUGAGAUGAUCUCUAUCCUGAAAUAAAUUCAAUUCA